rnacentral:rRNA from 1 species
UGGGGAAUUUUGGACAAUGGGCGCAAGCCUGAUCCAGCCAUGCCGCGUGCAGGAUGAAGGCCUUCGGGUUGUAAACUGCUUUUGUACGGAACGAAAAGGUGCCUUCUAAUAAAGGGCGCUCAUGACGGUACCGUAAGAAUAAGCACCGGCUAACUACGUGCCAGCAGCCGCGGUAAUACGUAGGGGGCAAGCGUUGUCCGGAUUUACUGGGUGUAAAGGGCGCGCAGGCGGGAUAAAAAGUCAGUGGUGAAAUCCUACAGCUUAACUGUAGAACUGCCUUUGAUACUUUUAUUCUUGAGUUCGGGAGAGAGAGACGGAAUUCCAGGUGUAGUGGUGAAAUACGUAGAUAUCUGGAAGAACACCAGUUGCGAAGGCGGUCUCUUGGUCCGACACUGACGCUGAGGCGCGAAAGCGUGGGGAGCAAACA